UACGUAGGGGGCUAGCGUUGUUCGGCAUUACUGGGCGUAAAGCGCGUGUAGGCGGUUUUGUAAGUCAGAAGUGAAAGGCCUCGGCUCAACCGAGGAAUUGCUUUUGAAAAUACAAAACUUGAGUAUGGGCGGGGAGAGCAGAAUUCCCGGUGUAGCGGUGAAAUGCGUAGAUAUCGGGAAGAAUACCGGUGGCGAAGGCGGCUCUCUGGACCAUCACUGACGCUGAGACGCGAAAGCGUGGGGAGCAAACAGG
rnacentral:rRNA from 1 species